UGAUCUGCCUACCAUGGUGAUAACGGGUAACGGGGAAUCAGGGUUCGAUUCCGGAGAGGGAGCCUGAGAAACGGCUACCACAUCCAAGGAAGGCAGCAGGCGCGAAAAUUACCCACUCCCGGCACGGGAGGUAGUGACGAAAAAUACGAAUACGGGACUCAAUCGAGGCUCCGUAAUUCGAAUGAGUGCAAUCUAAAUCCUUGAACGAGGACCAAUUGGAGGGCAAGUCUGGUGCCAGCAGCCGCGGUAACUCCAGCUCCAAAAGCGUAUAUUAAAGUUGCUGCAGUUAAAAAGCUCGUAGUUGGAUCUGGGUCGUGCGUUCACAUGUCGUUGUUUGGUUCUGGCUUCGGUCAGUUUCGAACGAUGAUGAGGUGGUCGCGCAGCCUUUCAGCCGUGUCUGCGUGAGCAGGUGUUGGCUGGCCGGUGGGCUUGCUUGCUGGCCAGUUGGCAUGUUUCCUGAUGCCUUUAAACGGGUGUCGGGGGCGUACGGCACUUUUACUUUGAACAAAUUUGAGUGCUCAAAGCAGGCCCAUGUGCCUGAAAAGUCUUGCAUGGCAUAAUGGAAUAGGACUUCGGUUCUAUUUUGUUGGUUUCCGGAUCCGAAGUAAUGGUUAAGAGGAACAGACGGGGGCAUUUGUAUGGUGGCGUGAGAGGUGAAAUUCUAUGAUCGUCGCCAGACAAACUACAGCGAAAGCAUUUGCCAAGAAUGUUUUCAUUGAUCAGGAGCGAAAGUCAGAGUUUCGAAGACGAUCAGAUACCGUCCUAGUUCUGACCAUAAACGAUGCCAACUGACG
rnacentral:rRNA from 1 species